UUCUCUUUUUUCAGUUUUUCUUUUUCUUUUGUUUUCCUUCAUUCAAUUUCUAUCUUUCAUUCUAUUUCUCUAUCUUUUUAUCUUUUUUUAUCUUUUUUUUUAUUAUGUUAACAUUUGACUAUAUGAAUUAUAUAUUCAUGGAAUCUUUUGGGUUGGGACUGUGUUCGGUGUGCAUCUUGUGCUCAAAUGUGAUAAUGCAGAUGUUCAGUUUCCUUAAUUUAUCUCAGUGAUUUUUGUAUCACUGAAAGUUCCAAUGCUUUUCUCUGCUGAUGGCAUUAAGCUCAGAAAUACACAAAACUUGAACAGGCAUGAGAAAGUAAAAGUUUGGUCAGAGUGCACCGCUCUGCCAGUUCCUGGAAGCAGUUUAUACCAAACUUACAAAAGUAAAUCUCUAGUUAGCACUCACAGCAACCCCUUGCUCCUCACCGAACACUUCCAUGAAGCCUCUGUGCUUUCUUACGCUUCCUGGGUCACAAGGUCUGUCAGGAAUUUUCAGUGCUUAUAAUGAAUAUAAACUGAAUAUCACCUGUGCCAUCCCACUCCCCAUCCAGCCCCUUAGUAACCCAAUUUCUCUGAAGGAGAGUGAAGGGGACUGGAAGCAAAGGGAAUGAGCAUCACACAGUGGAAGCGGAAAUGAGGAACAGAGCAACAAUGGCACCAGAGAAGAAACACCAGAAAGUAUUUCAUCCAGAACCCUGCCUUCAUGUAAAAGUAUAAAUACAGUGUUAAAGCAUAAUAUGUGUAAAUAUGUGUAAGUGACAUACAGAGUAUUUAACAAGACAGUUUAGACUUAUAAUUUAAAAAAAAAAAAAAAAAGUUUAUUGAAUCAAAUUAACCUGAGGCAUUAACCUGAAACUGCUUGGUAUGUAAGGGAAAUGGCUUUUGACUGCUUUGGCUUUUUGACCACUUAAUAACCAUUUAUCAUUGAACAUAAAAGGUCUUGGCUCAUCAAUAAGGUUAAGAAUAUGAAACACCCAUUACAGCAUUUUGUGAAAAAUUCAGAAAAACAAAAUGUCUGGAAUCACAUGCAGACAAAGCUGAACAUAUACUUGCAUCAUUGCGCUUAACAAAGAUAAACUCUUGUUAAAUAAUUUUGUGGAUUUUUAUCAUGUUGAGCAUAUUUGUCUGAGAGACUUUAUACCUCUUUAGCCAUACAGUUGCUUAUAAAUCUGUUCACAUCUCACAAAAAGCUCGACAAGGAGAAAAUGUUCCACUCUACUGCACGGAAAAAAAUCAGUCUCUCCUAUAAUAGCUCUGGGCAAUUUCAGACCACACAGAGUGACAAGGGAAUCAAUUUUCCUGGUUAGGUUAUAGAUGGAAUUUCUUCUGCUGCUCCUCUCAUAAGAAAUAACUGAGAUAUGUUAUACAAAUUAUUAAGAAAUCCUCUGUAGUGUUUCACGGGAUACACCACUUUCCAGAAACCUAAUUACUACUGUUAAUAUUGGACAUUCAGGGAGGAUUCCUGGAAUUCGUUUUUGCUGAUCUUGCUUAAUACUCUGGUCCAAAAACUCAGCACAGGGAAAUUAUAAAGUAACACGCUCAUGUGUGCAGCAUAUUAAAGAGUGAAUAAAUGAUGAGGGUUCCAUAUGAACGCAAUUGACUUAGUUCCACUCAUUGAGAAAGAGAUGGUGAGUAGAUGGAUCCAGUCUGACCUCAUGUGGAUGGAGUUAAAUAAAGCAGUUAACAAAAACUAUAACCUAGUCUGUAAAAAAGGGACUGACUGCUUCCUCUUCUCUCUUGUUAAAGCUCCUAUGAAGAAUUUUCCAUUUGUGCCAAAUUUGGCACUCCCUGUGGACAAAGCAGUCUUUGCUUAUCCCAUCCUCUACAUGCCUUAGUAGUGACCGUUUGGUAACACUUUACAAUAACCAUAACUUAUAAAUGGCAAAUAGACCAUUUAUAAGUGGUAAGCAGAUAGUUUAUUAAUGUUUAAUCAUGAUUUAUAAAUAGCAUAUAGACCAUAAAUAAAUUGCUAAUUGUACAGUUUUAAAAACCUAACCCUAACCCUAACUUUACAAUAACCAAAGUAAUGUUUAUAGGUGUAAUGUUUACAAAUUGUAGUCUAGAUGUUUUACAACCAAUAUUUAAACCCAAAAUAAACCUUUAAUAAAUAGUCCAUUAAUAUUCAAUGAAAAUUAUUAAUCAUAAUUUCAUUGCUUGUUAAUGGUACAGAAACUAUUGACUUCAGAUUCAUUCAAACUAUGUCAGGAGGCAAAGUCACGUUGUCCAUACUAUACACAGUCUAUGUUAAAAGUUAAGAGUUGAGCUGUCCAAACUGAUCCUUCAGAUUCAUUAAACCCGGGGAAUCAUCAAUUUGAGGAAUGAAUGAGCUACUUAUCAAACUUGUCAGCUUCAGUAAAGGCACAUCAGAUAACGAAAGCUAAGAGCUACAAGGUAUUUGUAAAUUUUACACAGGUGACUUGUCAGAGUGAUGUUAAUGCUUUGUAAGUAGCAACUUAUCAUGAGCAGACAAUGUAAUUAGUUUGGACAGAUAAUUUCCCUUCAGCAAUGACACACCUAAUAUUAGACAGUGAUAGUAUUGAGGGAAUUAAGUUGGAACUCUUUUUCAAAAAUCUAUUUUUAGAUUUAAAAAAUGUGAGGGGUCUUAAGAUAACAUUUGUUGUGAGUUGGCACUAUGCAGAUGGAUUGACAUAACAUAAAUUAAUUAGAUUUUUUGCCUAUGUGGAGAGUGAAUGCACAUUACAGUAGUUAAUAUGGAUAAAACACCCAGAUCAACCAACUUCCCUUGGCAUCAUGCAUCUCCUAAAAAAUAUUUCACUUUAAUAAUCUUAAUUGUGAUUAUAUUAUGGAAAAUAAUAAAUAAUGAACAUCAUGAAUGUUAUUAUCUGUCAUCAUUGUGAUAAUACCAAGAUGGCGUAGCACAAGGGUGCCUUUGUACUUUGCUCUCUCAUACUUUUUGUUCAAUUUUCUGUUCCCCUUCUUUGGUAUCAUUCACUAGAGAAAAACUCUUAAACAUGGGACAGUUUUUUCCUAAUGUCACAGUGUUUAAGUAAUCAUGCCGCCUCCAUUUAAAGACCCUUUUCCUGAACUGAGAACUGUUUUAUUCAUAAUGGAAGUUAUCUUUGUUUGUUCUCGUCAGUGUUUACAUCCCACUUUAAGUGUGUGUAAAGGGGGCAUUACAACAGCUGGCUGACCAGAUAACAGAUGUAAAGAAAAACAUCCAGACUCCCUGCUCAUCAUUCUUUUAACAGAGCCAGUCUCACUCAAGGAUUUCCUAAAUAUAGUCAGUGUCUUACCAGGGACACUAACACUCUGGACCACUGCUACACUGUUUUAAAGGAUGCUUAUCACUCUGUACUCCACGCAGCUUUGGGCCUGUCUGAUCACUGUCUGGUCCAUCUCAUCCCGACCUACAGGCAGAAAUUAAAAACCGCUAAGCCUGUAUUGAGGACUUUACGGAGUGGACAGAGGAGUCAAGGCUGGAGCGACAGGUCUGCUUUUUCUGCACUGAUUUGAGUGUAUUUGAAGCAGCAGAUACAACUCUUUACAAACUCACUGAUGCUGCAACAUCUUACAUCAGCUUUUGUGAGGAUGUGUGUGCAGACUGAGAUUUUCUGCAGAUACAGCAACAGUAAACUCUGUGUUACACCUAAGCUGUAGAAGCUGCACACUGACAAAGGAGAUCAGGGUAGCAAAGUGGAGAUACACCAAAAAGGUCAUAAAAAAAACAGCUUUUCGGCCAACAACCCUGCAUCAGUGUUGAGAGACCUGCAGAACAUCACCAACUGCAGUCAAGCUUCACAUGUUAUCAUGUGAGAUUAAAGGUCUGCUUUAAAACUGUUUUAAGUAGUUGUGUGUAUCUGUACGUGUAUGUACACAAGAGCCCACUACAGUUUUUUUUAAGCUUCUGUUGGUUAUUUCAUGAAAGCUUAAGACAGCUUAACUGUCCCUGACUCCACGGACAAGUGUGAAUCAAAAAUACAGAUUUAACAGGAUAAUUAUCUAAUAAAUAACAGAUUCAGAAUAACUACCCAAAAAAUGUUGGCUGUUCUGUUACAUUCAUGUGAAUAAAACAAAUAGAUAACGUAUAAUUCUCUUAAGUAUGUUGAAUUGGACUACCUGACGUGUAAACCCUUUCGAACCCUGUCUGUCAUAUGUUGGCUUAAAUAUCUCUACCAUUCUCACUCAAGGGUUGCUAUCACAGCUUUGAACAUGCUGCCAUAAAAAAUGAUGUCUUAUGUUCUUGCGUCUAUGUACCUUUCUUUGAAUAUAUGAACCUAUCAUGUACGGUAAUGUGCACUUGAUUUAUUUCACUUUUAUUUUAUGUACCUAUUUUAUUUGUAUAAGAUGAUUCCUGAAUCUCUCGUCUGUAUAAAAUUUGAACAUAAUGUGCAUGUGUGAGCCAAAUGUUUGUUUGUUUGUUUCAUUAUGUGUUCUUUUUUGUUUCUGGAAAAGUUUAGUAAACAUAUAUCCUAAAAAAAAACACGACAAUUUAAAAAAAUCUUGAAUCUUUAAUCUUGACCUUCUGAUUUGACAUUGUAAUCAUUACCUGUUGUUAAAAUGUUUGUUUGUUUGUUUUUUGUUUGUUUGUUUGUUUUUUACCAUGCGUCCUUUUUUUGUUUUUGGAAAAGUUUACUAAUAUCAUAUAUAACAUAUAAUAACAUAUAUCCAAAAAAAAAAAAAAAACAUGCACAUGACAAUAAAACAAAUCUUGAAUCUUGAUAUUGACCUUCCCUAUUACUAUAAGAUAACUUUUUUUUUUAACUUUUUAUUUCUUUUAUAUUCCAGUAAGCUUCUCUUGUUUUGUUUUUGUUUUGUUUUGUUUUGCUU